rnacentral:tRNA from 1 species
UUUUAAUAGCUUAUAAAGAGCAUGAUAUUGAAGAUAUCAAGGAAGUAAAUUUACUUUAAAAUAU